rnacentral:misc_RNA from 1 species
CCGAGUUCUACAACUCCCAAACCCAUUGUGAACAUACCUAUAUGUUGCCUUCGGCGGAUCAGGCCGCGCCCCGUAAACGGGACGGCCCGCCGAAGGAUCCACUAAACUCUUGUUUUCCUAUUGACUAACUUCUGAGUAAAUCUUAAAAAUAAAUCAA